rnacentral:rRNA from 2 species
UACGUAGGUGGCAAGCGUUGUCCGGAUUUAUUGGGUUUAAAGGGUGCGUAGGCGGCCCUGUAAGUCAGUUGUGAAAUACGGCAGCUUAACUGUCGAGGUGCAAUUGAUACUGCAGGGCUUGAGUACUGAUGAGGUAGGCGGAAUGGACGGUGUAGCGGUGAAAUGCUUAGAGAUCGUCCAGAACACCGAUAGCGAAGGCAGCUUACUAAGGAGUAACUGACGCUGAGGCACGAAAGUGUGGGGAUCAAACAGG